rnacentral:rRNA from 1 species
UACAGAGGGUGCGAGCGUUAAUCGGAAUUACUGGGCGUAAAGCGUGCGUAGACGGUUAUCUAAGUCGGAUGUGAAAGCCCCGGGCUCAACCUGGGAAUUGCAUUCGAGACUGAAUAGCUAGGGUGCGGUAGAGGGAAGCGGAAUUUCCGGUGUAGCGGUGAAAUGCGUAGAUAUUAGGAAGAACACCAGUGGCGAAGGCGGCUCACUGGUCCGGAACUGACGCUGAGGUGCGAAAGCGUGGGGAGCAAACAGG